CAGCUCGUGUCGUGAGAUGUUGGGUUAAUGCCCGCAACGAGCGCAACCCUUUUCCUUACUUGCCAGCAUUUCGGAUGGGAACUUUAAGGAUACUGCCAGUGACAAACUGGAGGAAGGCGGGGACGACGUCAAGUCAUCAUGGCCCUUACGGCCAGGGCUACACACGUGCUACAAUGGUCGGUACAAAGGGUUGCUACCUAGCGAUAGGAUGCUAAUCUCAAAAAGCCGAUCGUAGUCCGGAUUGGAGUCUGCAACUCGACUCCAUGAAGUCGGAAUCGCUAGUAUUCUCGGAUCAGAAUGCCGCGGUGAAUACGUUCCCGGGCCUUGUACACACCGCCCGUCUC
rnacentral:rRNA from 1 species